UACAGGGGGGGCAAGCGUUGUUCGGAAUUACUGGGCGUAAAGGGCUCGUAGGUGGCCAACUAAGUCAGACGUGAAAUCCCUCAGCUUAACUGGGGAACUGCGUCUGAUACUGGAUGGCUUGAGUUUGGGAGAGGGAUGCGGAAUUCCAGGUGUAGCGGUGAAAUGCGUAGAUAUCUGGAGGAACACCGGUGGCGAAGGCGGCAUCCUGGACCAAUACUGACACUGAGGUGCGAAAGCGUGGGGAGCAAACAGG
rnacentral:rRNA from 1 species